ACCUAGGGUCACGUGGUAUUGUCACUGAGGCGGAAAUGAAAGUUCGUUAGCGACAGAGCACGGAGCACAGCUGAAAAAGAGCUGUGAUGUCAUGGCAGCAGCCAGUGUGAGCAGACCUGCUGGGGCCCAGGCCACUGAAAAGUCUCAGCUGAUCCUGAAAGUGGUUUCAGCGAAGCCCCAGUCUCCCAAGCUGCCAAACCGCCACUCUCGGCUCAGCUCCUUCGUCGAGGUGACUGCUGACGGUCUGACCAGUGAAACCAAAAAAACAGGCAAACGCAGUGGACAUCUAGAGCUGCAAUGGAAUGAGGACCUCACCCUCAAUGUGACA